UACGUAGGUGGCAAGCGUUGUCCGGAUUUACUGGGCGUAAAGAGCGCGCAGGCGGUCAGAUAAGUCGAAUGUGAAAGCCCCCGGCUCAACUGGGGAGGGUCAUUCGAUACUGUUCGACUCGAAGGCAGGAGAGGGAAGUGGAAUUCCCGGUGUAGUGGUGAAAUGCGUAGAUAUCUGGAGGAACACCGGUGGCGAAGGCGGCGUUCUGGACUGCAACUGACACUGAAAAACGAAAGCCAGGGGAGCAAACGGG
rnacentral:rRNA from 1 species